UAUGACCCCUUUCAGUUGACCUGCUAUAUUCAACUUUGUACAUUGAUUAUUUAUCGCGUUUGUGGCUAUACGUAUUAGCAGCAUAUGUCUCUUAGCUUAACUUGAAUUUCCUUGUAAAAAUCAAGUUAGGAAUGAUAUAUGGUCCAAUAGAGAAAUUAACAGAGUCAGUGAGAUAUGGUCAUAUGCUAGAUAUUGGACACUGUUACAGAAUGUGAUUAGUAAUGGAAUUGGGUUUUCUGACUUCAUUACAACAAGUUUGGAGAAUGGGAUGAUCAAUUCCAAUAUGUUGAUGGCCAUAGAUUAUCAAGUUUUGUGAGACAGACUUGCAAUGGAGCUAUGUGACAAGUUUGUUGAGGUCUAUUAUCACAAGAUGAGAAAGUUAUUGGAUGAUUCUAGUGCUAUAGAAUCAGCUAUUACUUGCAAGUGCAACUGCAUGUAUGAAUCUCACUAAAUGUAAGAAAAAGGGAUGAAAGGAAGAAACUUCCUUAAUUUCUUGUGGAGUUGAAGAAAAGCUUUUUUACGUUUGGAGGAAAUACUGUGAGAUUCAGUGGUGGCUUUCCCUGUAUGGCCUAUGGCGUGAUAAAACAAUAGGAGUCGUCGAAUCGGUCAGCAUUCAGCAUCAAUGUGGUUUCUAUUAUUAAGCAAAUGGUUUGAAACAAAGUUUUCUCCAACAAGAGAUGUCAAGAAUCUUAAGGGCAAUAGUAUUUUAUUCCUCUUC